rnacentral:tRNA from 1 species
CGUCAGACAGCUCAGUGGUCUAGAGCAGUCGCCUGGCAAGCGAAAGAUCCGGGUUCGAUUCCCGGUCUAGCGA